rnacentral:lncRNA from 1 species
GCCAGCUCAGCGCGUCUGGUCUCCAGUGCGCCUCCUCGGUCCAGGUUAUCCUGCGCCGGCGUUGCGCACUGUGUCUCCAGAGCGCUGGGAGGGUCCAGUUCGCCCAAUACCUGCUCUCCGCCCGUGCCGGGCCAAAGUGGGUAUUCAGCCUGGAGUGUGGGUAAAGAGUGUCCGUACCAGAACUCCAGUGCUCCCCCACAGCCCGGUUUAUCCUGUGCCUCCUCCUCGGACCAGGCCUCCAGUGGGUCUCCCCAUCCUGGUCCAUCCUGUGCCACCUCCCAGGACUAGGCCUCCAGUGGGUCUCCCCAUCCUGGUCGGUCCUGUGCCACCUCCCAGGAAUAGGCCUCCAGUGGGUCUCCCCAUCCUGGUCCGUCCUGUGCCACCUCCCAGGACUAGGCCUCCAGUGGGUCUCACCUGUCCAGAGCUGCCCGCCAGUCAACAGUCAUCAGAGCUGCCCGCCAGUCAACAGUCGUCAGAGCUGCCCGCCAGUCAACAGUCGUCAGAGAGGCCAGACUGCGCUGAACUGCCGGAGUGGCCAGACUGCCCUGAACUGCCAGAGUGGCCAGGGACGCCCGCCAGCCCGGUACAUAGGUUCCACAAGGUAGGAGUGUACCCCCUGCUACACUUUGUCGUCGACUGCACUGUGUCCUCACAGUGGUAUGACGAGUCAGACCUCAAUGGCAACAAUCCAAAGGUUGUAUGAGGCAAUUGUGAAAGUGGCAAUCAACACCCAUACCCCCACACUACAACCCUCCAACCCUCCUCAACCAGGUUGAACUCCCAAUAUCCCCCACCACUCAGGAGCCCAGCUACACCCCCAUCCUCAACCAGGUUGAACCCCCGAUAUCCCCCACCACUCAGGAGACCAGCUACACCCCCAUCCUCAACCAGGUUGAACCCCCAAUAUCCCCCACCACUCAGGAGACCAGCUACACCCACACCAAACCAAAGAAGACGGAGAGAAAGUCCUGUCACCCUCAAAAAACCCUCCAACUCACUGAGCAUGACAGUCAACCCCAUCCAAUCCUAUCCAACCCCAUCCAACCCCAUCCUACCCCAUCCAACCCCAUCCUACCUACCAACCCCAUCCAAUCCUAUCCAACCCCAUCCAACCCCAUCCUACCCCAUCCAACCCCAUCCUACCUACCAACCCCAUCCAACCCCAUCCCAUCCUACCCCAUCCAACCCCAUCAUACCUACCAACCCCAUCCUACCCCACCCCAUCCCAUCCUACCCUAUCCUACCCCAUCCAACCCCAUCCAACCCCAUCCUAAUCCUACCCACACC